UUUUAAUUUGUCAACAUUUUUGUGUGUGAGAUCAUGUAAUAAAAGGAGAAUAGGAGAAUCCCUCGUUCAAUCCUUUUGGGUACAAGGUUUGCAGGCGGUAGAUCCAAUAGCAUUCUCUCUUUCUAAUUUGCAGGUCCCAAUUGCCUUUUCUUUGAUCUUGUUUUAUAAGUUCAAUGCCUUGAAAUUUUAAGACAGUAGGGUUUCCUUCAUGAACUGUUUUAACAUGUCUUGAGACCGGAGUCUCUAUGUGUCUUGAAGUCUUUACCGAAUUGAUAUGUUCUAGGAUUCUUCGUCUAAAGGGGCGGAAAGUUUUUCCCACAUAUGACAUCCCACAUUGGCAGGUAAUCAGGUAGACUAAUCCUUUAGAACUACAAUUAAAGAAGGCUGGAGUGUCGAAGUGAAGGCUUCUGGAGCUGUUGUAAAAGGACUU